GGGGCCCCGCACAAGCGGCGGAGCAUGCGGAUUAAUUCGAUGCAACGCGUAGAACCUUACCUGGGUUUGACAUGGAUCGGGAGUGCUCAGAGAUGGGUGUGCCUCUUUUGGGGUCGGUUCACAGGUGGUGCAUGGCUGUCGUCAGCUCGUGUCGUGAGAUGUUGGGUUAAGUCCCGCAACGAGCGCAACCCUUGUUCACUGUUGCCAGCACGUUAUGGUGGGGACUCAGUGGAGACCGCCGGGGUCAACUCGGAGGAAGGUGGGGAUGACGUCAAGUCAUCAUGCCCCUUAUGUCCAGGGCUUCACGCAUGCUACAAUGGCUGGUACAGAGAGUGGCGAGCCUGUGAGGGUGAGCGAAUCUCGGAAAGCCGGUCUCAGUUCGGAUUGGGGUCUGCAACUCGACCUCAUGAAGUCGGAGUCGCUAGUAAUCGCAGAUCAGCAUGCCGCGGUGAAUACGUUCCCAGGCCUUGUACACACCGCCCGUCACACCAUGGGAGUUGGUUUCACCCGAAGGCGCUGCGCUAACCCGCAAGGGAGGCAGGCGACCACGGUGGGAUCAGCGACUGGGGU
rnacentral:rRNA from 1 species